CCUACGGGUGGCAGCAGUGAGGAAUAUUGGUCAAUGGCCGGAAGGCUGAACCAGCCAUGCAGCGUGAAGGUCAGUUCCCUAUUGGCGUUAAACUUCUUUUGAGCGGGAGCAAUAAUGGUCACGUGUGGCCAGUCGAGAGUACCGUACUGAUAAGCAUCGGCCUACUUCGGGCCAGCCGCCGCGGUAAAUAGGGGGGUGCAAGCGUUAUUCGGGAUUUUUGGGGUUAAAGGGGAGGUUAGGUGUGAUGUGAGUCAGGUGUUGAAUGCUUGCGGUCAAAGGGUUGAAGUGCCAUUGAUACUGGCUUUCUGGAGUGCGGAUGCCGUGGGAGGAAUGUGUGGUGUAGCGGUGAAAUGCAUAGAUAUCACACAGAACACCGAUUGCGAAGGCAGCUCACGGAUCCGCGAUUGACGCUGAUGCACGAAAGCGUGGGUAUCAAACAGGAUUAGAUACCCCUGUAGUC
rnacentral:rRNA from 1 species